AUUGAACGCUGGCGGCAUGCCUUACACAUGCAAGUCGAACGGCAGCGGGGGAGAAGCUUGCUUUUCCUGCCGGCGAGUGGCGAACGGGUGAGUAAUACAUCGGAACGUGCCCUGUAGUGGGGGAUAACUAGUCGAAAGAUUAGCUAAUACCGCAUACAACCUGAGGGUGAAAGUGGGGGACCGCAAGGCCUCAUGCUAUAGGCGCGGACGAUGUCUGAUUAGCUAGUUGGUGGGGUAAAGGCCUACCAAGGCGACGAUCAGUAGCUGGUCUGAGAGGACGAUCAGCCACACUGGGACUGAGACACGGCCCAGACUCCUACGGGAGGCAGCAGUGGGGAAUUUUGGACAAUGGGCGAAAGCCUGAUCCAGCAAUGCCGCGUGUGUGAAGAAGACCUUCGGGUUGUAAAGCACUUUUGUCCGGAAAGAAAUGGCUCUGGUUAAUACCUGGGGUCGAUGACGGUACCGGAAGAAUAAGGACCGGCUAACUACGUGCCAGCAGCCGCGGUAA
rnacentral:rRNA from 1 species